rnacentral:snoRNA from 1 species
CCUGGUCCGUGAUGACCCCUCUUGGGAGACGGUUGGAUGAAUCCUGCGGAUAUGGGGCUGAGGCCGGGC